rnacentral:rRNA from 1 species
AGUGAACGCUGGCGGUAGGCCUAACACAUGCAAGUCGAACGGCAGCACAGUAAGAGCUUGCUCUUACGGGUGGCGAGUGGCGGACGGGUGAGGAAUACAUCGGAAUCUACUUUUUCGUGGGGGAUAACGUAGGGAAACUUACGCUAAUACCGCAUACGACCUACGGGUGAAAGCAGGGGAUCUUCGGACCUUGCGCGAUUGAAUGAGCCGAUGUCGGAUUAGCUAGUUGGCGGGGUAAAGGCCCACCAAGGCGACGAUCCGUAGCUGGUCUGAGAGGAUGAUCGGCCACACUGGAACUGAGACACGGUCCAGACUCCUACGGGAGGCAGCAGUGGGGAAUAUUGGACAAUGGGUGCAAGCCUGAUCCAGCCAUACCGCGUGGGUGAAGAAGGCCUUCGGGUUGUAAAGCCCUUUUGUUGGGAAAGAAAAGCAGCAGGUUAAUACCCCGCUGUUCUGACGGUACCCAAAGAAUAAGCACCGGCUAACUUCGUG